rnacentral:rRNA from 1 species
AGCAGCCGCGGUAAUUCCAGCUCCAAUAGCGUAUAUUAAAGUUGUUGCAGUUAAAAAGCUCGUAGUUGAAUUUCGGGGUCAGUAGGCUGGUCGUGCCACAGGUAUGUACUGGUCUUACUGAUUCCUCCUUCCUGAUGAACCGUAAUGCCAUUAAUUUGGUGUUGCGGGGAAUCUGGACUGUUACUUUGAAAAAAUUAGAGUGUUUAAAGCAGGCUAACGCUUGAAUACAUUAGCAUGGAAUAAUGAAAUAGGACGAUCGAUCCUAUUUUGUUGGUUUCUAGGAUUGACGUAAUGAUUAAUAGGGAUAGUUGGGGGCAUUAGUAUUCAAUUGUCAGAGGUGAAAUUCUUGGAUUUAUUGAAGACUAACUACUGCGAAAGCAUUUGCCAAGGAUGUUUUCAUUAAUCAAGAACGAAAGUUAGGGGAUCGAAGACGAUCAGAUACCGUCGUAGUCUUAACCAUAAACUAUGCCGACUAGGGAUCGGAUGAUGUAAUUUUUAAUGACUCAUUCGGCG